rnacentral:rRNA from 1 species
UACGUAGGAUGCAAGCGUUGUCCGGAUUUACUGGGCGUAAAGCGCGCGCAGGCGGCACUCUAAGUACGUCGUGAAAUAUCCCGGCUCAACCGGGAGGGUGCGAUGUAGACUAGGGAGCUAGAGGUCGGUAGAGGGGGGUGGAAUUGCUGGUGUAGCGGUGAAAUGCGUAGAGAUCAGCAGGAACACCCGUGGCGAAGGCGGCCCCCUGG